AUGGCUGUCGCCGCCGUCCUGCCUACUCCAUUGGAGCUCCGCGCCACCGGAUUGGGUCACCUCCACCUUGGUGCUCUCCGUCAGCCUCCUCCCGUGCUAAGAAGCUCCUGCCCGAGCCGUUCUAAUCAGCCGCGCCGCCGCCGUUUUGCAGGAGCUCCGCCUCCCUGCUUUGCCAGUGCCUGCAUCCCCAUCGUCCCCGAGGACAAGCCCCUCGAGCAGGAGGUCUUCUCCUGCCCGAACCCUCAAGGAAGAGCUGUUGCCGUGCGCACCUCCUCCCGUCCCCAGCGCCCGUCAUUGCCCCGCACCUCACCCCGCGUCCAAGCCGUGCUAUCGCCGUUGUUGCACCUACGGCCUCCUGUCUUGCUUCUUUUUGGACCAGCAAGAACGUCACCAAGAACCCUAUGCGGACGCAUCGUCUCUAGGAUUUUCGCCAAGUACCUCUACGUGCGGACUCGCCAAGUACAUGACUCGGAUGCGCCAAGUUUGACUAUGAACGGCUACACGUCUGACACCGUAUUCGAACCUCAAACGUCAAGUUCCACUACCAAUGUCGCGAAUCCGACAAGACCAAGUGUACGACUACGCCCAGCGAUGCAACAAGUACCUCUAUUGUCGACGUGUACGACGACCUUCGACAUGUACCCCUACACCGCACCAAAACAUCGAGUUCCUCGCCGUGACCCCGAACAUCUACGGAACCUUGUGCGACUAUCGAUGUGA
rnacentral:rRNA from 1 species